rnacentral:rRNA from 1 species
GUCGACGGCAGCACGGGGGCAACCCUGGUGGCGAGUGGCGAACGGGUGAGUAAUGUAUCGGAACGUACCCAGUCGUGGGGGAUAACUAUCCGAAAGGAUAGCUAAUACCGCAUACGUCCUGAGGGAGAAAGCGGGGGACCUGCAAGGGCCUCGCGCGAUUGGAGCGGCCGAUAUCGGAUUAGCUAGUUGGUGAGGUAAAGGCUCACCAAGGCGACGAUCCGUAGCGGGUCUGAGAGGACGACCCGCCACACUGGAACUGAGACACGGUCCAGACUCCUACGGGAGGCAGCAGUGGGGAAUUUUGGACAAUGGGGGAAACCCUGAUCCAGCCAUUCCGCGUGAGUGAAGAAGGCCUUCGGGUUGUAAAGCUCUUUCAGCAGGAACGAAACGGCCGGCUUUAAUAAAGUCGGCUAAUGACGGUACCUGCAGAAGAAGCACCGGCUAACUACGUGCCAGCA